UUUUCGAAUCAUUCUCCACUGGGCAAAAGGCUGAUGGUGCGACGCCGCGUGCAGGGAUGAAGGUCUUCGGAUUGUAAACCUCUGUCACCGGGGAAGAAACGCUUUGAGUUAAUAGUUCAAAGCCUGACUUAACCCGGAGAGGAAGCAGUGGCUAACUCUGUGC
rnacentral:rRNA from 1 species